CAAUAGCGUAUAUUAAAGUUGUUGCAGUUAAAAAGCUCGUAGUUGGAUUUGUGGCGUACGGUGUGUUCCGGGCACUUGUUGUCUGAGUAACCUGCUGUUGCCAUCCUUGGGUGGAACCUGUGUGGCAUUAGGUUGUCGUGCAGGGGAUGCCCAUCAUUUACUGUGAAAAAAUUAGAGUGUUCAAAGCAGGCUUAUGCCGUUGAAUAUAUUAGCAUGGAAUAAUGAGAUAGGACUUUUUUGCUAUUUUGUUGGUUUGCGGAAAGAGGUAAUGAUUAAUAGGGACAGUUGGGGGUAUUCGUAUUCCAUUGUCAGAGGUGAAAUUCUUGGAUUUUUGGAAGACGAACUACUGCGAAAGCAUUUACCAAGGAUGUUUUCAUUAA
rnacentral:rRNA from 1 species